GUUUUGCUGUCACUGCUGGCAGAGCCUGGGCCAGUCUGGCUCCAGCCCGAACUCCAUCCAAGCAACAUUGUGAGGAGUGGAGGAUCAAGCCAGGCUACUCUAGUGCUGGGUGGUGGCUGUUACUGGCAGAUCUUGGUGCCCGUCUCAGAGCCAUCACUCCUGUUUCACGCCCUGCCUCCUUCAGGCAGCCAAGCACUGCAGAUGCAGCACUGAGGGAGGUGACAGCAGCGAGGGCAAACAGCCCCUGAUCCUUAUCUCUCCACAAUUUUGUGCUGCAGAGCACAAAAAUGUCCACAGAGACCACUAGCAACUGUGCCAUCUGCCAGGACACUUGUGAGGAUGUGGCUUCUACUCUGCCCUGUCACCACCAGUUUUGCCUGGGCUGUAUCCUGCGGUGGACACAGAGAAAUCCAGUGUGCCCACUCUGCAGAAGAACAAUAGUGACUGUCCGAUUUUCUGAUCAUGGAGAAGACGACUAUCUGGAGACAUCCAUCACAGUCCCUGAAGACCUGCUAGAUGGCAGCAGCCAGGGAGGGAGAGCUCUAGACAGCCCGGACGAGAACAGCUCCCAUCCUCCUCUGGUGUCCCCUUCAUCUUCUCCACAGGGGAGAGUGUCUCCAGCAGAGCAGGAAGGAUCAAGGCUGGAGUUUGUAGGCAGUGUCUUGCCUGAGGUCUGGGCAGAAAUUUUCCGUCAACAACAGCAUCUCCUGGACUCCAUGCGGCCCUGGCUGCAUGAGAGGCUGCAGGAAAUAUACCAGGGCUGGUGGUGGGUAGUAGAUGCCAUAGAGAGCAGCAUCUUGCAUGGCCUUUGCAUCUAUGGGCCAAAUGCUGAGAUGCUGGUCGAGGUGCUACAGCCUCUCCUCGAGGAACACACAGCACCACUGGUCCAUGAUGUCAUCAGGAUCAUUAUGGGCCAGUGCCGUGAGGAGGCUCAGAGGCUUCUGCAUUCUGAUGCUGUCAGGGAUGAGAACAACGGCCCUGUGGCCAGCUCCAGCUCCAGCUCCAGCUCCAGCUCCAGCUCCAGCUCCACUUUCACCAGCUCCAGCAAUUCCAGGAUCUCCAGUUUCAGCACAUGCAUCUCCAGCAACUUCAGGAGCUCCAGCUUCAGCAGCAACAGCUGCAGCUGCAGCUGCAGCUGCACUUGUAGUUGCAGCUGCAGCUGCAGCUCCAACAGCUGCAGCUCCAACAGCUGUAGUUCCAAUAGCUGCAGCUCCAGCAGCUCCCAGCAAGGGACUCCUGACAGCAGCCCCACAGGCUCUGAUGAGGAGGAGGAAGCUGGUACAUCAGAGGCUUCCCCCCACCGAGGGCAGCAGUCGCAGCGCUUCUGCUCCCAGGGCAGGGACUGAUUGUCUGCUGGGCCCAGCCUAUCUGACAAAAGAGGGGGCCCAGGCCCUAAAGCUCUCCCCAGGCCUGCCAGAGGCUGCCCCUUUGGCAGCUCUAGCAGGGCUCUUCCAAACCUUUAUUCAAGGAACAGGAAAUAAAUGGUUAUUUCCCUCACAAAA